rnacentral:rRNA from 1 species
AUUGAACGCUGGCGGCAUGCCUUACACAUGCAAGUCGAACGGCAGCACGGGUGCUUGCACCUGGUGGCGAGUGGCGAACGGGUGAGUAAUACAUCGGAACAUGUCCUGUAGUGGGGGAUAGCCCGGCGAAAGCCGGAUUAAUACCGCAUACGAUCUACGGAUGAAAGCGGGGGCCCUUCGGGCCUCGCGCUAUAGGGUUGGCCGAUGGCUGAUUAGCUAGUUGGUGGGGUAAAGGCCUACCAAGGCGACGAUCAGUAGCUGGUCUGAGAGGACGACCAGCCACACUGGGAGUGAGACACGGCCCAGACUCCUACGGGAGGCAGCAGUGGGGAAUUUUGGACAAUGGGCGAGAGCCUGAUCCAGCAAUACCGCGUGUGUGAAGAAGGCCUUCGGGUUGUAAAGCAAUGUUGUCCGGAAAGAAAUACUUGGCCCUAAUACGGUCGGGGGAUGACGGUACCGGAAGAAUAAGCACCGGCUAACUACGUG